rfam:Ananas comosus cultivar MD2 ACMD2_Scaffold_494, whole genome shotgun sequence.
UACGUAGGGUAUCUGAAGUUUUUUGUAUAUAAUUUAACGAAAUGUCAACGAAGGAACUGACGAAAAGAGAAAAAUGAAACCACAUGGUAUUAAAUUGAUACACUUUAAACCACAGGGUACUAAAGUGAGAAAGUGCAAAACCAAAAUGAUGCAAGUCUUGGAUAAGAAUCUACAACGCACUAGAACGCCUUUGUUGACGAUCCUUUACUCCGACAGCAUCUAGGGUUCCUCGAACAAUGUGACAUCUCACACCGGGUAAAUCCUUCGGAUUCCAGCAUCGAAUAGAUCGGCGGAUAAGAAUAUUUGUCCGGUAGCCGAAAGCAUCACUAGCUUAUGCUCUGACCAGAGUAGCAUGGGGCACGUGGAAUCCCGUGUGAAUCAGUAAGGACCACCUUGCAAGGCUAAAUACUCCUCGGUGACCGAUAGCGAAGUAGUGCCGUGAGGGAAAGGUGAAAAGAACCCCCAUCGGGGAGUGAAAUAGAACAUGAAA